AACGAACGCUGGCGGCAUGCCUAACACAUGCAAGUCGAACGAGACCUUCGGGUCUAGUGGCGCACGGGUGCGUAACGCGUGGGAACCUGCCCUUAGGUUCGGAAUAACUCCCCGAAAGGGGUGCUAAUACCGGAUAAUGUCUUCGGACCAAAGAUUUAUCGCCUUUGGAUGGGCCCGCGUUGGAUUAGCUAGUUGGUAGGGUAAAAGCCUACCAAGGCGACGAUCCAUAGCUGGUCUGAGAGGAUGAUCAGCCACACUGGGACUGAGACACGGCCCAGACUCCUACGGGAGGCAGCAGUGGUGAAUAUUGGACAAUGGGCGAAAGCCUGAUCCAGCAAUGCCGCGUGAGUGAUGAAGGCCUUAGGGUUGUAAAUCUCUUUUACCCGAGAUGAUAAUGACAGUACCGGGAGAAUAAGCUCCGGCUAACUCCGUG
rnacentral:rRNA from 1 species